UACGAAGGGGGCUAGCGUUGCUCGGAAUCACUGGGCGUAAAGCGCACGUAGGCGGCUUCUUAAGUCAGGGGUGAAAUCCUGGAGCUCAACUCCAGAACUGCCUUUGAUACUGAGAAGCUUGAGUCCGGGAGAGGUGAGUGGAACUGCGAGUGUAGAGGUGAAAUCCGUAGAUAUUCGCAAGAACACCAGUGGCGAAGGCGGCUCACUGGCCCGGUACUGACGCUGAGGUGCGAAAGCGUGGGGAGCAAACAGG
rnacentral:rRNA from 1 species